ACGAACGCUGGCGGCGUGCUUAACACAUGCCCGUCGAACGGAAAGGCCCCUUUGGGGGUACUCGAGUGGCGAACGGGUGAGUAACACGUGAGUAACCUGCCCUUGACUUCGGGAUAACUUCAGGAAACUGGGGCUAAUACCGGAUAGGAAUCCUUGCUGCAUGGUGGGGGUUGGAAAGCUUCGGCGGUUUUGGAUGGACUCGCGGCUUAUCAGCUUGUUGGUGGGGUAGUGGCUUACCAAGGCUUUGACGGGUAGCCGGCCUGAGAGGGCGACCGGCCACAUUGGGACUGAGAUACGGCCCAGACUCCUACGGGAGGCAGCAGUGGGGAAUAUUGCACAAUGGGCGGAAGCCUGAUGCAGCAACGCCGCGUGCGGGAUGACGGCCUUCGGGUUGUAAACCGCUUUCAGCAGGGGCGAAGCUUGUGGUGACGGUACCUGCAGAAGAAGCACCGGCUAACUACGUG
rnacentral:rRNA from 1 species